UACAGAGGGGGCAAGCGUUGUUCGGAAUUACUGGGCGUAAAGAGCUCGUAGGUGGUUUGUCGCGUUGUUCGUGAAAACUCACAGCUCAACUGUGGGCGUGCGGUCGAUACGGGCAUCACUGGAGUUCGGCAGGGGAGACUGGAAUUCCUGGUGUAGCGGUGAAAUGCGCAGAUAUCAGGAGGAACACCGGUGGCGAAGGCGGGUCUCUGGGCCGAUACUGACGCUGAGGAGCGAAAGCGUGGGGAGCGAACAGG
rnacentral:rRNA from 1 species